rnacentral:lncRNA from 1 species
GACACUAAGUGAGAACAGUUCCGGUUGUGAAGACAAAGAACUUAGUGCUUAUUUCUUUGUUAAUUGAACAAAGAACUUGAGAAGUAAGCACAAGGGCAUGGACACUUUAUGUGCCAUGAUUCUUCACUUACAAUUUGUUGUGUGAAGAAAUAAGAGUUGCCUUGUACAAACUCUUUAAAGUUUGUAAUUAUGUUUAGAACAUAAUGGUUGGUUGACAAAAAUAGUCCAUUAACAUGGACUUAUGAUGAUUUUGAAUCAUUGAAUGUUGAAGUGAUAAACCACUUAACGAGACGGAAACUAGGCAAGGACUUCACCUUUGUUUCCCUAUCCUAAUCGUUCACUAAGUUUAUUGUAAACUAUGUAGUGAACAAUAAACCACAUGCUCUCCAAAAUUGUUUGAUGUGUAUAA